AAGGCGCCAGGCGUCGUAAACUUCUUUUGUCGGGGAACAAAGGGCGCCACGCGUGGCGUUGUGAGUGUACCCGAAGAAAAAGCAUCGGCUAACUCCGUGCC
rnacentral:rRNA from 1 species